UACGUAGGGUGCAGGCGUUAAUCGGAAUUACUGGGCGUAAAGCGUGCGCAGGCGGUUUUGUAAGCCAGAUGUGAAAUCCCCGGGCUUAACCUGGGAAUGGCAUUUGGGACUGCAAGGCUUGAGUGCGGCAGAGGAGACUAGAAUUCCUGGUGUAGCAGUGAAAUGCGUAGAUAUCAGGAGGAAUACCGAUGGCGAAGGCAGGUCUCUGGGCUGACACUGACGCUCAUGCACGAAAGCGUGGGGAGCAAACAGG
rnacentral:rRNA from 1 species